AGAGUUUGAUCAUGGCUCAGGACGAACGCUGGCGGCGCGCCUAACACAUGCAAGUCGAACGAGAGAGAGGGAGCUUGCUUCCUUGAUCGAGUGGCGAACGGGUGAGUAACGCGUGAGGAACCUGCCUCAAAGAGGGGGACAACAGUUGGAAACGACUGCUAAUACCGCAUAAGCCCACGACCCGGCAUCGGGAAGAGGGAAAAGGAGCAAUCCGCUUUGAGAUGGCCUCGCGUCCGAUUAGCUAGUUGGUGAGGUAACGGCCCACCAAGGCGACGAUCGGUAGCCGGACUGAGAGGUUGAACGGCCACAUUGGGGCUGAGACACGGCCCAAACUCCUACGGGAGGCAGCAGUGGGGAAUAUUGCACAAUGGGGGAAACCCUGAUGCAGCGACGCCGCGUGGAGGAAGAAGGUCUUCGGAUUGUAAACUCCUGUUGUUGAGGAAGAUAAUGACGGUACUCAACAAGGAAGUGACGGCUAACUACGUGCCAGCAGCCGCGGUAAAACGUAGGUCACAAGCGUUGUCCGGAAUUACUGGGUGUAAAGGGAGCGCAGGCGGGCGAUCAAGUUGGAAGUGAAAUCCAUGGGCUCAACCCAUGAACUGCUUUCAAAACUGGUCGUCUUGAGUAGUGCAGAGGUAGGCGGAAUUCCCGGUGUAGCGGUGGAAUGCGUAGAUAUCGGGAGGAACACCAGUGGCGAAGGCGGCCUACUGGGCACCAACUGACGCUGAGGCUCGAAAGUGUGGUAGCAAACAGGAUUAGAUACCCUGGUAGUCCACGCCGUAAACGAUGAGUGCUAAGUGUUGGAGGGUUUCCGCCCUUCAGUGCUGCAGCUAACGCAUUAAGCACUCCGCCUGGGGAGUACGGUCGCAAGACUGAAACUCAAAGGAAUUGACGGGGGCCCGCACAGGCGGUGGAGCAUGUGGUUUAAUUCGAAGCAACGCGAAGAACCUUACCAGGUCUUGACAUCUUCUGACAAUUCCAGAGAUGGAACGUUCCCUUCGGGGACAGAAUGACAGGUGGUGCAUGGUUGUCGUCAGCUCGUGUCGUGAGAUGUUGGGUUAAGUCCCGCAACGAGCGCAACCCUUAUUGUCAGUUGCCAUCAUUAAGUUGGGCACUCUGGCGAGACUGCCGGUGACAAACCGGAGGAAGGUGGGGAUGACGUCAAAUCAUCAUGCCCCUUAUGACCUGGGCUACACACGUGCUACAAUGGACGGUACAACGAGUCGCUAACUCGCGAGGGCAAGCUAAUCUCUUAAAGCCGUUCUCAGUUCGGAUUGCAGGCUGCAACUCGCCUGCAUGAAGUCGGAAUCGCUAGUAAUCGCGAAUCAGCAUGUCGCGGUGAAUACGUUCCCGGGCCUUGUACACACCGCCCGUCACACCAUGAGAGUUUGUAACACCCAAAGUCGGUGGGGUAACCUUUUGGAGCCAGCCGCCUAAGGUGGGACAGAUGAUUGGGGUGAAGUCGUAACAAGGU
rnacentral:rRNA from 1 species